GAUGAACGCUGGCUACAGGCUUAACACAUGCAAGUCGUGGGGAAACGGCAUUAUGUGCUUGCACAUUCUGGACGUCGACCGGCGCACGGGUGAGUAUCGCGUAUCCAACCUGCCCCUUACUUGGGGAUACCCCGUUGAAAGACGGCCUAAUACCCGAUGUGUUUCAUUGACGGCAUCCGAUAUGAAACAAAGGUUUUUCCGGUAAGGGAUGAGGAUGCGUCUGAUUAGCUAGUUGGCGGGGCAACGGCCCACCAAGGCGACGAUCAGUAGGGGUUCUGAGAGGAAGGUCCCCCACAUUGGAACUGAGACACGGUCCAAACUCCUACGGGAGGCAGCAGUGAGGAAUAUUGGUCAAUGGACGCAAGUCUGAACCAGCCAAGUAGCGUGCAGGAUGACGGCCCUAUGGGUUGUAAACUGCUUUUAUGUGGGAAUAAAGUGGUGCACGUGUGCGCCAUUGCAUGUACCUCAUGAAUAAGGACCGGCUAAUUCCGUGCCAGCAGCCGCGGUAAUACGGAAGGUCCGGGCGUUAUCCGGAUUUAUUGGGUUUAAAGGGAGUGUAGGCGGUCUGUUAAGCGUGUUGUGAAAUUUAGGUGCUCAACAUUUAACUUGCAGCGCGAACUGUCAGACUUGAGUACACGCAGCGCAGGCGGAAUUCAUGGUGUAGCGGUGAAAUGCUUAGAUAUCAUGAGGAACUCCGAUCGCGAAGGCAGCCUGCGGGAGUGUUACUGACGCUAAAGCUCGAAGGUGCGGGUAUCGAACAGG
rnacentral:rRNA from 1 species